rfam:Kordia algicida OT-1 1103813601120 genomic scaffold, whole genome shotgun sequence.
GCGAAAAUAGCUCAGCUGGUAGAGCGCAACCUUGCCAAGGUUGAGGUCGCGGGUUCGAGCCCCGUUUUUCGCU